AUUGAGUUUGAUCCUGGCUCAGAUUGAACGCUGGCGGCAGGCCUAACACAUGCAAGUCGAGCGGAUGAGAAGAGCUUGCUCUUCGAGUUAGCGGCGGACGGGUGAGUAAUGCCUAGAAAUCUGCCUGGUAGUGGGGGACAACGUUUCGAAAGGAACGCUAAUACCGCAUACGUCCUACGGGAGAAAGCGGGGGACCUUCGGGCCUUGCGCUAUCAGAUGAGCCUAGGUCGGAUUAGCUAGUUGGUGAGGUAAUGGCUCACCAAGGCGACGAUCCGUAACUGGUCUGAGAGGAUGAUCAGUCACACUGGAACUGAGACACGGUCCAGACUCCUACGGGAGGCAGCAGUGGGGAAUAUUGGACAAUGGGCGAAAGCCUGAUCCAGCCAUGCCGCGUGUGUGAAGAAGGUCUUCGGAUUGUAAAGCACUUUAAGUUGGGAGGAAGGGCAGUAAGCGAAUACCUUGCUGUUUUGACGUUACCGACAGAAUAAGCACCGGCUAACUCUGUGCCAGCAGCCGCGGUAAAAUC
rnacentral:rRNA from 1 species